GACGUAGGGCGCGAGCGUUGUCCGGAUUUAUUGGGCGUAAAGAGCUCGUAGGCGGUUUGUCGCGUCUGCCGUGAAAGUCCGGGGCUCAACUCCGGAUCUGCGGUGGGUACGGGCAGACUAGAGUGAUGUAGGGGAGACUGGAAUUCCUGGUGUAGCGGUGGAAAUGCGCAGAUAUCAGGAGGAACACCGAUGGCGAAGGCAGGUCUCGUGGGCCAUUAACUGACGCUGAGGAGCGAAAGCAUGGGAGCGAAC
rnacentral:rRNA from 1 species